rnacentral:rRNA from 1 species
UACGUAGGGCGCAAGCGUUGUCCGGAAUUAUUGGGCGUAAAGAGCUCGUAGGCGGCUUGUCACGUCGGGUGUGAAAGCCCGGGGCUUAACCCCGGGUCUGCAUUCGAUACGGGCUAGCUAGAGUGUGGUAGGGGAGAUCGGAAUUCCUGGUGUAGCGGUGAAAUGCGCAGAUAUCAGGAGGAACACCGGUGGCGAAGGCGGAUCUCUGGGCCUUACCUGACACUGAGGAGCGAAAGCGUGGGGAGCGAACAGG